rnacentral:rRNA from 1 species
UACAGAGGUCUCAAGCGUUGUUCGGAUUCAUUGGGCGUAAAGGGUGCGUAGGUGGCGCGGUAAGUCGGGUGUGGAAUCUCGGAGCUUAACUCCGAAAUUGCAUUCGAUACUGCCGUGCUCGAGGACUGGAGAGGAGACUGGAAUUCAUGGUGUAGCAGUGAAAUGCGUAGAGAUCAUGAGGAAGACCAGUGGCGAAGGCGGGUCUCUGGACAGUUCCUGACACUGAGGCACGAAGGCCAGGGGAGCAAACGGGG